rnacentral:rRNA from 1 species
GAUGAACGCUGGCGGCGUGCCUAAUACAUGCAAGUCGAGCGAACAGACGAGGAGCUUGCUCCUCUGACGUUAGCGGCGGACGGGUGAGUAACACGUGGAUAACCUACCUAUAAGACUGGGAUAACUUCGGGAAACCGGAGCUAAUACCGGAUAAUAUAUUGAACCGCAUGGUUCAAUAGUGAAAGACGGUUUUGCUGUCUUAUAGAUGGAUCCGCGCCGCAUUAGCUAGUUGGUAAGGUAACGGCUUACCAAGGCAACGAUGCGUAGCCGACCUGAGAGGGUGAUCGGCCACACUGGAACUGAGACACGGUCCAGACUCCUACGGGAGGCAGCAGUAGGGAAUCUUCCGCAAUGGGCGAAAGCCUGACGGAGCAACGCCGCGUGAGUGAUGAAGGUCUUCGGAUCGUAAAACUCUGUUAUUAGGGAAGAACAAAUGUGUAAGUAACUAUGCACGUCUUGACGGUACCUAAUCAGAAAGCCACGGCUAACUACGUG